CUGGCUCUGCUUAAGAUAGAGGAUGAGCCUGGAGAUGGUCCUGAUGUCAGGGAGGGGACUCUGCCCACUUUUGAUCCCACUAAAGUGCUGGAAGCAGGUGAUGCGCAACCAGAGGUUUACACCAAGACAAAUGAAGACUGAAACGAAGAACGUUAUUGUUAUGCUGGAAAUUUGACUGAUAACAUUCUCUUAAUAAAGUUUUACAGUUUUCUGCAAAGAA